rnacentral:rRNA from 1 species
UACGAAGGGGGCUAGCGUUGCUCGGAAUCACUGGGCGUAAAGGGUGCGUAGGCGGGUUUUUAAGUCAGAGGUGAAAUCCUGGAGCUCAACUCCAGAACUGCCUUUGAUACUGAAAAUCUUGAGUAUGGGAGAGGUGAGUGGAACUGCGAGUGUAGAGGUAAAAUUCGUAGAUAUUCGCAAGAACACCAGUGGCGAAGGCGGCUCACUGGCCCAUAACUGACGCUGAGGCACGAAAGCGUGGGGAGCAAACAGG